CCUACGGGAGGCAGCAGUCGAGAAUCAUUCACAAUGGGGGAAACCCUGAUGGUGCGACGCCGCGUGGGGGAAUGAAGGUCUUCGGAUUGUAAACCCCUGUCAUGUGGGAGCAAAUUAAAAAGAUAGUACCACAAGAGGAAGAGACGGCUAACUCUGUGCCAGCAGUCGCGGUAAUACAGAGGUCUCAAGCGUUGUUCGGAAUCACUGGGCGUAAAGCGUGCGUAGGCGGUUUCGUAAGUCGUGUGUGAAAGGCGCGGGCUCAACCCGCGGACGGCACAUGAUACUGCGAGACUAGAGUGAUGGAGAGGGAACCGGAAUUCGCGGUGUAGCAGUGAAAUGCGUAGAUAUCGGGAGGAACACUCGUGGCGAAGGCGGGUUCCUGGACAUUAACUGACGCUGAGGCACGAAGGCCAGGGGAGCGAAAGGGAUUAGAUACCCUUGUAGUC
rnacentral:rRNA from 1 species